ensembl:lncRNA
GAAAUAUCAGUCAACACUUCGCAGCGUUCCUCGCAGCAUUCACUUGGCUUACUCUACAUUUACAUCGUGUUUUUAAAAAGCUUGCUAAAAAGUUUUCAAACAAUUUUAAAGGACUUUGGACAGUCUGAAAGUUUUAAACCAGUCAGCUUAAAAGUUUGACAACUGUAGUUUCCUCCAGACUGUUUUCAUGGAUCAAAUGGAGAGUGGAGACGGACAGCAUAACGACCCCAUUCGAAGGGUACCAAUCCCUCAGCUGCUUCUUUUAUUGGAGCAGCAUGAAGAAAUCGAUGCAAUUCGCCCGAUGAUCCGCUGGCUGCAGGUUGGUCUUUCACGUGGGGUCUUGACUGAAGAAAGCCUCCUUGUUUUGAAUCAAGUGAUUCUUCAACUGCCGCAAGAUGAAAUUGACGACGAUCUUCCUAACAAUGAAGAAGAGGCUGAUGUUCUUGCAGGAGGAAUUGAAAUUAAUCCACCUCAGGAAGAAGAAGGACCCCGGGAAAAUAUUAUAGCAGGGCUCCCAGCAAGAGAAAUUGAAUUAAACCCGGCCCAGCAAGCAGUAGAUCCGAUAGUGGAAGAAAUUAGAUGGUUCUGGGAAGACGAGGGGUCUGACAGUGACAACGAAAGUGUCCCUGAAAAUGACAAUGAAGACAGUGACCCUGAUGAAAGUGACCCUGAUGAAAGUGACCCUGAUAACAGUGACAAUGAAGAUUCAGACAGUGGACAGGCUGCCCCUGUGUUAUUGCCCCCCAGCCCAGUACCGGGGGGUUCCAGGAGGAGACCAAGGGAAGAGGAGGACGAUGAAGAGGAAGAUGGGAGAGACAGAAAACAUUUUAAACGCUGAAUUUUGCUGCUGGACACUCAGCAUUGCAGCCCAUCUUCCAAACCCAGUGUCCGACAUGUAACAUCCUAAGCGACUGAAUCUUGGCUGGCCUCCUCUGACCCACUGAUUUAAUUUCCUGCAACCAGGGACCUUUUUACCUGUGGCACAAUGUGAUUGUGCAAACAAAUGGAUGAGCUUCUCAAUGCUACCCAAGAACGAGGACGGCUCACACUGGAGCCGACACUGACCUCAUCAGUGUCAAUCAAACUCAUCAGCAACCAGCUUCAGAGGAGCUUGCAUCCGAUAAAAGCAGCAGGGACAAAUCCAGGAAACAAAUGGUUAGAAGGAAGGAGUGAAAGGGUACACCAUGCACAAAGUUUUGGACCUAUUACAGCCCCGGUUGAAGAUGGAGUUUUGGUCCACUCAUCUGGUCUGGAUUCUGUUGACUUCACUGAAGGGAUAGAUCCUUGCCACGAAAUGCAGGGAUAUAUUCAUAAAAUAUUGUUUGUAUUUUAGUUAAAGAGCUAAUGGUACCAAAUGUGAUUUAAUAGAAUGAAUGACAAACUGAUGUGUGUAUUAAAAACAUUCAAUAUUAAACUGC